GAUGAACGCUGGCGGCGUGCUUAACACAUGCAAGUCGAACGAAGCAUUUACGACAGAUUUCUUCGGAUUGAAGUUGUUUAUGACUGAGUGGCGGACGGGUGAGUAACGCGUGGGUAACCUGCCUUGUACUGGGGGAUAGCAGCUGGAAACGGCUGGUAAUACCGCAUAAGCGCACAAUGUUGCAUGACAUGGUGUGAAAAACUCCGGUGGUAUAAGAUGGACCCGCGUCUGAUUAGCUAGUUGGUGGGAUAACAGCCCACCAAGGCGACGAGCAGUAGCCGACCUGAGAGGAGGACCGGCCACAUUGGGACUGAGACACGGCCCAGACUCCUACGGGAGGGAGCAGUGGGGAAUAUUGCACAAUGGAGGAAACUCUGAUGCAGCGACGCCGCGUGAGUGAAGAAGUAAUUCGUUAUGUAAAGCUCUAUCAGCAGGGAAGAUAGUGACGGUACCUGACUAAGAAGCUCCGGCUAAAUACGUGCCAGCCGCCGCGGUAA
rnacentral:rRNA from 1 species